rnacentral:misc_RNA from 1 species
AAAAAGACGAGUGGAGCACGAGAAACACCUGCCACGUAAGAAAAGGCGAAGGUUGGAGGCCAUUAAGGAGAUGCUUGAGAAUGAAGAGGAAGACAAUAUGGAACAGGAAACUGGAGGUGGCAAAAAAGAGAAAACCGGACAAUCACUAGUUGAUCUUGCUCACCGUCGAGCAAAAUCCAUGAAAGCCAAAAUGAAAGUGCAAGAAACUGGGAUGGUUUCAAAAAUUGCUGGCAAGAAGGCCAAAAGUCAGACGAGAAAAGAUGAG